rnacentral:rRNA from 1 species
AGAGUUUGAUCCUGGCUCAGAUUGAACGCUGGCGGCAUGCCUUACACAUGCAAGUCGAACGGCAGCGGGGAGCAACCUGGCGGCGAGUGGCGAACGGGUGAGUAACAUAUCGGAACGUGCCCUGGAGUGGGGGAUAACUAGUCGAAAGAUUAGCUAAUACCGCAUACGAUCUACGGAUGAAAGUGGGGGAUCGCAAGACCUCAUGCUCGUGGAGCGGCCGAUAUCUGAUUAGCUAGUUGGUAGGGUAAAACCUACCAAGGCAUCGAUCAGUAGCUGGUCUGAGAGGACGACCAGCCACACUGGGACUGAGACACGGCCCAGACUCCUACGGGAGGCAGCAGUGGGGAAUUUUGGACAAUGGGGGCAACCCUGAUCCAGCAAUGCCGCGUGAGUGAAGAAGGCCUUCGGGUUGUAAAGCUCUUUUGUUCGGGAAGAAACGCGCCGGGUUAAUACCCUGGUGUAAUGACGGUACCGAAAGAAUAAGCACCGGCUAACUACGUGCCAGCAGCCGCGGUAAUACGUAGGGUGCAAGCGUUAAUCGGAAUUACUGGGCGUAAAGCGUGCGCAGGCGGUUGUGCAAGACAGAUGUGAAAUCCCCGGGCUUAACCUGGGAACUGCAUUUGUGACUGCACGGCUAGAGUGUGUCAGAGGGGGGUAGAAUUCCACGUAGCAGUGAAAUGCGUAGAUAUGUGGAGGAAUACCGAUGGCGAAGGCAGCCCCCUGGGAUAACACUGACGCUCAUGCACGAAAGCGUGGGGAGCAAACAGGAUUAGAUACCCUAGUAGUCC